CACGUAGGGCGCGAGCGUUGUCCGGGAUUAUUGGGCGUAAAGAGCUCGUAGGCGGCCUGUUGCGUCCGCUGUGAAAGCCCGGGGCUUAACCCCGGGUCGGCAGUGGAUACGGGCAGGCUAGAGGUAGGUAGGGGAGAAUGGAAUUCCCGGUGUAGCGGUGAAAUGCGCAGAUAUCGGGAGGAACACCGGUGGCGAAGGCGGUUCUCUGGGCCUUACCUGACGCUGAGGAGCGAAAGCGUGGGGAGCGAACAGG
rnacentral:rRNA from 1 species